CCCUGUCUUGGAGUUACUAUGAUAUUUAGCAGACUUAAAAACCGACUCCCCUGUUAGCUGAAUCAGCUGACUUCUGCCAAACCCAGCAGGUCUGGUCAGAAAUACUUGCAGUCCUCCCAGGUUGGGACAGGCUGCUUGAGAUCCUAUGAGUCUCCUGGCAGCAUACAGCACAUUCCUGUGUUUACAGGUCCUACAUGCAGCUCUUGUUUCUGUGGCUAUGACCUGUUCCUGAGAAUGAAGCUACUAUGUAAACAUGAAGGACUUCAAACUCAUAGUGUGCUGCUUUCCAGAGCAAGUGGUCAUUUGUUCCAAUUUCCCAUGACCACAUUAGUCCUUGGGUUUGCUGCUCAGAAAAAUAUAUCAAUUUUCAGCAAUAGUGCUAGACAUGGAAGAGGGGUUGCAUAGGAAAUACAGGCUGCAUUAGUACGUAUUAUUAAACAUGCCAAGAGGAUAAUAUUACAUAAUCCCUAGUUUCAGCAGUUAAAAUGUUAUCCUUAUUAAAAUAAAAAAAUGUUUAAACAUUCAAAGUACUGUAGCCAAAAUCCAACUUAGGAAAUAUCAUAUUUAGCUAUUAGCAAGAUGAUAUGACUUUUAAGUUCCAUCUGUGACACCAAUUUCUCCACUGGUGCCAUUCAAAAUCAUAUUUUUUUCAUUGCACUUACAGAUCUAUCCAAAAAGAGAAGGGAAAAUAGUAUCAGAGUGUGAUUUACAUUACACUGGAUUUUACUGCACUUUGGCAUUGCAAAGAAAUCUUUGAAAUAGUUGAAAACUACAUAAGGAAUAAGUCAGUUUCUAAUUCACAGAAGAAAAUAUUCUGAGGUAAGUGAGGUAACCAAAACAUUGUGGCUUAAAGAACAUUCUGAGCAAUUGUUAUUUCAGCUGUCUCAAUCCACAAGAUCCUAUUAGAACAGAGCAGUAGUAAAGAACACUCACAGCCUUUUUUUACCUGAAAAUAUUAACUCUCACUCAGGUGGAUGAUGCACAGAAUUAAUGAAUUAGUACAGAUUUUGUUUGCAGGAUCAGAGUUUGGCAUCUAGUAGUGUGCAGCAAUAAAAGAGAGACUGAUUUGACAUCUUUAAUUCAAACGAAAAUACAAGAGGGCUAGUCUGAAGUUACUGAUGUGUCUUUGGAUUUAUAUCACUGUUGCUAAAAAUAGAAAGUGGCAGUCUAUUUUUAGAUAAUCCAGAGCUAUUAUAGGUUGGAACCUUGCAACUGUGUUACCUGCUGCCUUCAUAAAAAAACUCAAGCAUAGUUGAAAAUACAUGAUUAAUUUCAAUACAGUUUGGAAUAAUCCUUUACAUGCAAAUGUGCCAUGGACUUCAGGAGACUGUUUCUUGUCAUACUUUAAUUGCUGAUGGAUGAAAGUCUCUUUAUCUCUGCAGAACCUUUAAGCCCUGUUUAUACCACAGAUAUUUUUUUUUUUUUCAGACAAGACUUGAAAAGCACAUUAAAUAAUAUUUAACAGAGCUAAUUUCUGAACUGAUGUGAGGUGUGUUGAUAUUGCUGACUCUUUGUCUUGGCUUCCUCAAAAGACAACAAAACCAUUCUGGGCCCAGAACAAAGAAGACCAGAAGUGUUAGCAACAAAACUCACGGAAAUUUCUUUUUUACUUUUCAAUAGCUGUACAGCAAGAAGAAAGAAGCAAGUGGUGGUAAGGGAAGGAAGUGCUCCUGUUCAUGGGGAAUCCCACCUGCAUGAAUCCAUUUGAGUGUACCCAAGCAGAAACAGCGGGCAGGGCAACUAAGCUUCCCAGGCCUAGCAAUUAAGUAUAAAAAGAUGUCUUUAUCCAAACAGAUCAUCUGUAUUCUGGAAAUUUCCACCAUGUUUCUUUCUGAAGUCCUACAUCUUUUAAACUGCAGAGCAGCAGGAUCAGUAAUUGUUAUGGGAUAGCAGUGGCUGUAAAGUCAUCCAUGCUGAAAAACUAGGGCAAUUUAUUGAAUCAACAGGAGUGAUCCAUGUCACUAUCCAUUUGUCUGAACUUUAUAACAGUGGAUUGGGGUUUUUGGUUUUCAGAAGGGGAAAGUUGUUGUUGAUUUGGGUUUUUUUCUGAUUUGUUUGAAUUUUCUGUUGCCUGUCAGAAAUCAGCUGCUGUUGGUGAAAAUUUGACAUGAAUAGCAUUAUCUUUGGGUGACACAGGCAACAUUUGGUCUUACCUUCGUGCUAUUUGUAAUUUGAGGAGAUUUGAGCUUUUAGGACAUUGCUGCUUUUCUCUGGGGCAGGCAGAGGGUGAGAGAAGGAUUAAAGGGAGAAAAUUAAAACGAAAUAAUAAAAGGAAGCUGGAAACCAGUGAAAUGUUAUUAAAUUUGCAGCACUGCAAUCCCCAGUUUUUCAGAAAUAGCAAACUAGAUCCUCAAACAUGACAUUGGCUUCAGAAUAAAAAUAUAGGAUUGCCCAAAUUUAAAAGAGAGAGAGCAAGAGAAACCUUAUAAUAUGCUAAUUAAAGCUGGAAAUGUCUGUUUCAUUCCAUGCAUUCAUUAUUUUUGUAAUUUGUCUUCUGUUUUUUUCACCUGUUAGUACUCAUGAUUUUUUCAAUUAGUUAUAAAGAGCUGAGCCUAGAAGAUGCUGGAUCUAAUUCUCUGAGGUUCACUUUUAUAUAAUGCUUAUAAUAUCCACUGAAUGGUCAUAAAACUCCAAGUGCUGUCAAUACUGAUUAGAUUAAAUUUAUUAUAUCAACUUAGUUAAAAUAAUUCAUUACAUUGAAUAUUUUGUGUUCUUUGAUUAGUGUUGCACAUAACUGAAAGGAAAAAUUUUUAUCCUCGUGAUUCACAGUCGGAGUCAUAAUUAGCAACCCUUGUAUUAUUUGAGCAUUGAAAAGAGAAGGAUAUUGAGUCUGUAAAUAAUCCUACCUUUUACAGAUUAAAUAAAGAGUCCAGCAAAAAAAGUAUUGACCAGAGCAGAAUAAAAUUGAACUGUUCAGCAUACGUAGAAACUCUUUGGUGGUAUCUAUUAAAUAUUUAAUUUUUGAAAUAUUUUAUGCUAAUACUUGUCUUUAUAUCUUGAAGUAAUUUAUUAAAACCACCUAAACUGUCAUAUGCUGAGGAACAUCUUCAAAAUCUGAGAAGCUCAAGACUUCAAAUCUGGCAAUCAAAUACAUGAGGGGACCCCCAGGGAGGAAUUUUAGAGGUGACCUUCAAUAGCACGUAUCAUGAACUUGAGAGGACAAACACAACCUAUAGACCUUCCUGUGGUUAAAAUAUUGCUGUUCCUGGAUACCUGGCUACUGCAUAACUAGACUAUUUUAAGCCCUGAGUACAUUGCAUUUGUUCCCAUAACAAAUCUACUGCAACAGAACUGUUCACCUUGUGUGAAAGAGCAUGGAAGAGGAAAGAAAUGACAGUAAGGCUGAAUUAUGAACUCCCAAAAGCUGAGGACAGAAACUGCUUGUAUUGUGAAAGCUGAAUUCACUUCUCUUGAUUAAUGCUGGGCAACAGUGAUCACACGCAUGGGUUUGCUGGAACAGUUGUAGCUCAUGUAUUAAUUGUUCCACUUUUCCAGUGCAAUAUUUUAAGAGUAACACAGACAGCACUGUAAAAAUCUAUCAGUUUGAAAACUAGUGUCAGAAGUUCCUCACUUUCCACUCUAGAAUAGAGAUCCCCCAGACUGCUUUACCAACAGUGAACUUCCUUCUCAGUUCUGACCUGUGCGCUCGUGGCACUUAGUUGGAGUAUCAGCAGUGCCGUCACCAUGUCCCCAUGCUGUCCCUGCUACUGUUACCCUUAUAUCUGGUGGUUACUGAAGCCAAUAUACCUCAGGAACUUUUUAGGUACUUACCUGAGCACCUUAGUAUCUCUGUGAGGGUCACUCAACUGUGGGACAACUGCAAUUGUAUCUCACAGAGAUGUCACAGCUCUUAAUUACACCAUCUCCAGAGUGCUCCGAAGUUAUCUGACAAAAGUGAUUUCAUUAUGCAAAUUUCUGCAGCAAAAUAAACUAAUCUAGAUAGCAGAGGUCAGACCUGUCUGCCUACAUUAACCUAAAGCCUGUGCUUUUCCUCUUUUCUGCACCAUUAGCCAAAACAGAUAGGGUUUGUUUUUCCUUUGAUCCCAUGGAUUCAACAGUGAAAGACUAUUCUCAGUUUGUCAUCCUGAGCCUUCCCACUUUCCUGGUGAUGUGACCCAUGCUAUGAGGAAGAUCUGUAAUUGUGGACAGAUGCCUUUUUGAGGAAUGUCCAGAUACUGCAGGAGAGGUGGAAGAGGACUACACAGAAACCACUGACUCCCCAGAGCAGCAGCUGGGGCCUGGAAGUAGGCAGUGAGAAAUAACUGUGUGAAGAGCAAGGAUUUUUCAAAAGCUAUGCAUUAGAAUUUCCACAAGGUGCUCUAAAGAGUCUUAUUUUCUCAAGGGUAAAUAUUACAGGCUAUUUUGAAUAGCAAUAAGACACUCUCUUUAAUGGUGCUAUCUCUGUGUAACAUGAAUUCUGUUUCUGUGCUAUUUUCAUAUCAGUCUGUGCUAUUGGGAAUGACAAUAUUUCUAUGCUCAGUCUUAAAAAAAUUGGAAAACUGCUGCAAAUGGGUUUUGUCAAUGAAGAAUAGGACUCUCUCAGGUUCCAGCAAUGGGUUGCAUGUACAUUAGAGGUACCAAGUACAUAUACAAGACUGAGGGUAAAAACAGACUCAAUGUGUCAAAAUCAGUCAGCCCUUUUAUUCUCCACAUCUCAAAGCUCUUAACAUACUUGGUAGUGAAAUAAAACCAAAUUGUGUCUGACUAGAAGAUACAAAAUCGAAGUGAAUUGAAAAGGAAGUGAGACAGGAGACCCAUUUCCUCAAAGUAGUCCCAGCUUGAAUAUUAGAAGGGAAUGUUCCAGGAUUUUUUUAAGCCCAUUCUAAAACUUCUGGGGCUGGAUACCAGCCAGCCUCCCUUGGUUAUCUACCCCACUUCACAAUAUCCUCAUGGGGAACAAGUUUCAAACUAUAUCUAGCCCAAACCUUUCUAACCAUCUCUUGUCCUUUACUGUAUGGUACUAUAGACUAUGCACUAUUUUGAAAGACUUUUCUCCAUCUCCUAGAUGAGCCCCUGGUGCAGUGUCACCCUCAUUUGGUGACAUCUGAAAAUUUCAUGGAAGAGUGCUCCAGUGUCUUUUCCAGGACACUGAUGGACACAUGGUUGGUAAACAGGACAGGUCCCAUAUAUUUGGACUAGCAGUCACCAUUGAUACUGCCUGUGAUAUUAAAACAUCAUGUUACUUGCUUUAAAGAGCAGAAACAAACUCUAAGACCUUGGAUAAACUGGAAGACAAGAAAUCUCACAGAGAAAAUAACAGCAAUGUUGAUAAGAUGUGAAGUGAUUCUCCUCAGGAAACAGUCAAUUCGCUAAGAUUCAUUAUGCAAACUUAAUGAAUCUUUAACAUUUACAGCUCCUGAAAUUUAUUGUUUCAGCCAGGCAUUGAUCACUAGUAUAUCUGACUAAAAACAACUAAAAGCUUAAGGGACAUCAUACACUUGGAGUCCUCCAAAUUCCUUUAGCAAAUCGAUGAAUAGAGAAAUUAGGGUUGUUAGAAGCUAAUCAUCAAAAUUCUGCUAAAUCCUACUUUGAUAAUGUUAUUGACAUCUUAAGGACAAUGUCAGCAUAGUGCUCUGUGAGACAGGCUUCUCCAGAAACACUGUCAACCACAAACAGUACCAAGUUCCUGCACUGGAGCUCAUGGAUGCUAGUGUUUGAAGGCUUUCAGGGCAAGACACAAGGAAGUGUACUUAGCUCAGCACUGACUGUGCUUUCUCUUGUUUUGCUGUGCUAAACUCAACCUCCCCACCACCUCACUAUACCAAGCUGCUUACAUAGCCACAUGUUGGUGUAGUACACAGUUUGUGUAGUACAGUGAUUGUCCAAGCAAGGGCUCUUGCUUUUGUUGCUCUUGCCUGAACUUUUUGAACCAGCUAAAGGCUGGGGAUGCUGUAUAAAUCACAAGAUCGUGUCAGCAAGUUCUAGGUUAAUGAUUUCCUUUAAGCAAAGUCAUAUCUAAUAAUAUAUAUAAUAAAACAAAACAAAUGUUUUGUUUUCCACUACUUUCAAAUGUGCACAAAGUAAAAAAACAAAACUUAUUCCUGUUUGAAGUUUUGUACAUCAUUACACUUAUUUUGGAAGAAUAUUUUGGAAACUUUCCUAUUAAACUCUUAAAGGUCACUCCUAAAACAAGGUACUCAAACAUACCCAGGGGGAUAACAUAGUCCGUGUCAUCCUACGAGCAUGUAGCACCGAUUUAAUUCUAUCAUGUCUCUGUGCAGGUGUAGUAAACCCACUCCUAGAGGACUGCAUUCCCCCCUUAUCGUUGUGUGCCUCUGCACUUCUGUUCUAGCUGUCCGACAUCCAGAAACUCCAGUAUCCAGACAUUGUUGGAAAAAUAUGAAUGUUUCUUAGCUUUUGGGAGAGAGAAUGAAAUUAGAGAUGUAUAAGCUGUGGGUUUGUGACUCUCAGGAGCGUUGUGAGUGAAGGGGACCUGCUGGAGUCUUUCUUCAACAGUGUUUGCUUCUCGUGCUGCAUGUUAAUCCUCCCUGCAUGUUAAUCUUCUCCACUGCUGAUAUUUUGUGGAGGCACAAUAUUUAUGUGUUCCAUGAAGAUGCAGACAAAGUUCUUACUUUCAGUGUGGGGCAUCUAAAGUUAUGGGGAACGUGUUAUUAACAGUAAAACAAAUGUGCAUAGGAUGCCCAGGGGACUCUGAAUAUUUGUUCCAGUCCCUCCAAAUAUCUGAGAACCAGAACUACUGUUUGUUAUUGAAGUGCCUCUGAAGCAAAGGAAACAAUAGAAAGUGUCGAGAAACAUUUUAUCAAGAGGAUGUGAACCUGUAGUACUCAGACUUGUGUCUGAAUGGUACCUGACAAGGGUAGAUGAAAUUGGAAUAUUUCAGUCUUCACUUCCCAGCUAGAUCCUGAUGCAGGAGUCCUCAACAACACAGAUGGCCACUGUGUACAAGUCUGAGAGAAAUUAUUCACAUCAAAAGUUUUCCUUGGAAUCCAUGUUAUGCAGCAGGCCAGCCCAUGACAGUGAAGUACAGUGAAAGUUUACACACAGAGACUUCGCGUGUGUGAUGCAUGUCUUGUAUUUUCAUCCUGUUCUUAACAGAUCACCCUUUGAUCUGCUCAUUACUCUCAUUCAUGCUGAAAGAUUUCAGCUUUUCCUAUACAGAAGCUGGUAGAAUGAGAGGUUUUAUUGCCUCAGCAUCUUACAUUUCCAGACUUUCACAAAGAGAAUGAAGGAAACAGACCAGAUGCUCAGUCAGAUAUGACAGCUUCAGUAUCUCUGUGUUUCCAACAGAACUCUCUUCAGAGGGCAAAUAGUCAAACCCCAUGCACUAUUACCCACUUCGUGGCUUUUCCCAUCUCACAGUCUAGUUUUCUCUCCUUGUAGAAUGUUGCAAAAUGUAUUUUCUCUAAGAUCAGCAAGUCACAUGUGUGCCACAUGUCUGAUGAUAGUGCUAGGGAAGAAACCACAGCCGGCAAUUCAUAAUGAUCCCAGAAUCAAUUGUUUUGCUUGGUGGCAAAGAUUUUUCAGGCUACUUUUUAAAAAUAUACUGAAUAUACAUUUUUGCCUCCAAAUCAUUAUGUGUAUUUCCAAUUUAGGAGGAGUCCUUACUGUGCAGAUUUUAUAGAAGUUACAGUUAGUCCGAGGAUUAUUUUAGUCCUUCAGAAGAUGAUAAGAAAUAGAUAAUUUCAUGUCAAAAUUUGGCAAAAUAUAUUCUGUUUUUCAUUCUAUAAUUUACCAGUGAUCCUGCUAUAAUACAACUGUUUACUUCUUCACUCUUGUCUUGAUUCCAGAUAUAUUUAGUUAACUAGUCUCUGAUGAAGGCUCUGGAAACUGUAAAAUUUUAUAGGAAAAUCAGUAUACCUAAUGACAAAUUUUCUGCUAACUCCAUUUAUGUACCUGGGCUUGAUAUUUAAAGUUCUAGUUAGCUAAUAAGUUGGGAUGUUUUGUUUUGUUUUGUUUUGGGUUUUUUUUGUUAGAAUACCUUUAUUUUCUUUUUUCCUAAGGAGACAAGUCUUCUUUUCCUGUAGGACUUGUCUGAAAAUUAUGACAAAUGCUUUGCAGUUACAUCAUCAAGCCAUUCAUCAAAAGCAUUUACAUUUACUUACUUUGAUGGGGCUUGACUGCAAGUUUGUAUCACAUCUUCAUUCCAGCAAGCUCCAGAAAAAGAGAUCAUUGACAAAGCAGUUUUGUGAAUGUUUCUUUUUUGGCAUUCACUAACUUAAUAUAUAGAGUUGGAAAUCUGUUAGGGCAAGACACUGAUCGUAUGAAAAAUUGAUCUGCCAAAUAUCUGCAGAAUAGAGGAAACACCAGGAAAAUUUAAACUGUUGGAAGUAAUUUACUCAUCUAAAAGUAUUUGAAAAUUGUGAAUGGAAAGGAUCAAUAGUAAUAUGCAGGAAAACAAAAAAUAAACUUCUGUCUAUUUGAGUAACACCUAUCCAAUGGUAGAUUUUCUUAAGUGAAAUGAAAUGGCGUGAGUCCAAACAAACUGUGAAAGGAUUAAAGUGUUUCUCGAUAUGGGAGUGCAAUAUUUUUCGUGCAGACUGUUUUUUCUUGAACUGAAUCAGAAUUUAACUUCUACACUGACAUUCAGGGCCUGAUUCCAAACAUCUUCCUGCCAGUGAAAAAUCUUUAUUAGCUUCAGACUCACAGAACACAUUAAAGGAGAGAACACUAUUGCUGAAAAAUACAGUUUUAUUUUGGGACUGGGUCCUUGCAUUCAUUCUGAAUAGUUGAUACCUCUUGCUUGAACUAAAUUCUCAUCAAUAGUGCUUCAAAUCCACCCUUGUUCAAGCUGUCUAUAAAUUAUACCUCUCCUGGACAUUUGGGAUCAGGAAAUGCCCUGGGCUUUCUUACAUACUCGAUGCUGGCCAGCAUGUUCUUGUCUCACAGCUGAUAGGGACAUACAAUUCACUACCCUUCAUGUAAGUUGUAUUCAUGCAGGGUUUCAUUAUGGCAUCCUUUUCCUUGUGCUGGGAAACAUAAAGAAUAAAGCAUCUGUGUUGCACAGUUAUCUGGGAAACUGGGUAAAUAAUUAAUGUCUGACUGAUACAGAACUAGGGAAAAACUCAAGAAAGAGUCAAAACAAAAAUUAGAUUUUCUCUUUUUUUUAAGUGAAAUUUUAAUUUGUUGGCUACCCUCAUGGACAUUUUGCUUUAAUGUUAAAUAUUUUAACAUGUAGUAAUUUUCCUUAGACCUUUUUUGAAUUCACAAUGGAAUAUAUCUCAAUCUAGGCAUGACAGAAUGAAACAUGCUGGACUUCUCAUGAACAGUACCUCUAGGUCAAGAAGAUGCUGAAAUAAUUUUUAUUUUUGAAACUCUACCUCUCAUUUUUGACAGGAAAUCCUGAACUUCUUUGCAUUUAUUUUUUUCUAUUACUUUGUUUAUAAAUAUUUUUUCUUGUUCCAUUGCCAUAAAGUCAAUGUUGAACUGGAUCAAAUGAAAGAAUGAACACAGGUUUGUGAUAAUUUUAAAAAUCAUAUUUUCUCCCUACCUUCCUUCAAAUGGCUGCAAAGCACAAUUAAAUAUAAAGCUUUUGUGAAGUAAAAAUUUAUUUUAGUUCCUGAUGAGGCAAAGAGUUCACCACUAAGGCAGGACGAUCGUGAUGUCAGCAGCAGUUCUUGACAAAGUUGCAGAACAGCAUUGCUAUUUUUGGGCUCCCAUUCAGAAGUAUGAAUGAUUGAUUGCAUUCCACAUUGCUCUUCAUUUUCAUAAAUUAUUAUAAAAAUUAUAUAUUAAAAGAAUGAGGUCUUUAAAUUUAGAGGGAAGGGGAAGAUGCAGUCUGUUUGAAAAUCUAGACUCAGAUAGUCUCUCAAGAUCUGAAUUUAUAUGGGCUGCUGCUCCCAGAGGCUGUUUUACUGGCUGACCCAUGUUCACCUCAUUUGUUGCACCAGUCAUCUGUGUGCAGAUCGAUGCAGCUGUUCAUUAUUGCCUUGACUAGAUUAAUUAUCUCUGAUUAUCUCAGAACUUUAAAUAUGUAUUCUGCCAAUACUGUAUAACAGAGAAAGUUAGGAUUGUUACUGUUUGAAAACAAUCUUGCAGCCUUUUGGCAGAUACUAAUUUUUUUUAAGAUAAGACUUAAUGAAGAAAAAUGGUAUUUUUUUAAUUUGAAGAACAUUUUUCCCUUCAAUGAAAUAUAAUGAUGGAAAAUGUGUUUAAAAUACAAUUUAGUCUUGCAAAACGCCUUAUAAAUACCAAACAGCUGAUAGAAAGGUGACAUUUCAGAAGCUUAGGAGCCUGAAUACCUUAACUUUUCUCCCAGAACUCUAUAUUUUGUACUGACGAUGUGACAGGUGAUGAGGUGUCCCUCACCACACUCAGGUCACAGGACUGCAGGUCAAAGAUGUGUCUCUGUGAAGGAGACUGUCAGUUGAACAGUUUCUUUGUAGAGUUGCUAACGUGAAUUCAUACAACUUAAGAAGAAUGUGCUAGUUGAUGAGGUGUCCAGUGGACUCUGGUGGCCAAAAGAGCUUCUGCCUUUCUCAUCUUCAUCUUGUACUGUGUAAAAAACAGGUGUCAGGGCAGGUACUCCAAAUCUGAAGAUUUCCACAAAGACAGACAUCAUGGCAUCAAUGACUUUCCAUCUGGUUGGGGACCAAAAACCUGUACUUUGGAAGUGUGUUUCCCUCUUUCCAUUAAAUGUUAUGAAAAAAACUGUCUUUAUCUGUCUGGUUCUGCAUGUAUGGGACUUUCUUUCCACCUUCUGUAGGUCUUUCUGAUGUAGUUCUGCAAAUGUUCUCAUCGGUCAACAAUGGCGCCAGAAUACCCUUGCUCAAUUUGCUAGACUGCAGUCUGUGGUGGUUUUAAACCAGUAACUAAAGAAAUCACUUAUUUCUUGUUGUGAGAUAUGG